GACGAACGCUGGCGGCGUGCCUAACACAUGCAAGUCGAACGCAGUGGAGAACGGGUGAGUAACGCGUAAUCAACCUGCCCUUCAGAGGGGGACAAAAGGUGGACACGACCGCUAAUACCGCAUACUGAAGGGGGGGAUUGCGUUUUAUUGGCUAGUUGGAGGGGUAAAGGCCCACCAAGGCGAGGAUCAGUAGCCGGCCUGGGAGGGUGAACGGCCACAUUGGGACUGAGACACGGCCCAGACUCCUACGGGAGGCAGCAGUUGGGAAUCUUCCGCAAUGGACGAAAGUCUGACGGAGCAACGCCGCGGGAGUGAUGACGGCCUUCGGGUUGUAAAGCUCUGUUAAUCGGGACGCGGUACCGAAACAGAAAGCCACGGCUAACUACGUGCCAGCAGCCGCGGUAAUAC
rnacentral:rRNA from 1 species